CAGUCGAGCGGUAAGGCCCUUCGGGGUACACGAGCGGCGAACGGGUGAGUAACACGUGGGUGAUCUACCUUGCACUUCGGGAUAAGCCUGGGAAACUGGGUCUAAUACCGGAUAUGACCUCUGAAUGCAUGUUCGGUGGUGGAAAGAUUUAUCGGUGCGAGAUGGGCCCGCGGCCUAUCAGCUUGUUGGUGAGGUAACGGCUCACCAAGGCGACGACGGGUAGCCGACCUGAGAGGGUGACCGGCCACACUGGGACUGAGACACGGCCCAGACUCCUACGGGAGGCAGCAGUGGGGAAUAUUGCACAAUGGGCGCAAGCCUGAUGCAGCGACGCCGCGUGCGGGAUGACGGCCUUCGGGUUGUAAACCGCUUUUGACAGGGACGAAGCGCAAGUGACUGUACCUGUAGAAUAAGGACCGGCCAACUACGUGCCAGCAGCCGCGGUAAUACGUAGGGUCCGAGCGUUGUCCGGAAUUACUGGGCGUAAAGAGCUUGUAGGCGGUUCGUCGCGUCGUUUGUGAAAACUUGGGGCUCAACCUUAAGCUUGCAGGCGAUACGGGCGGACUAGAGUACUUCAGGGGAGACUGGAAUUCCUGGUGUAGCGGUGAAAUGCGCAGAUAUCAGGAGGAACACCGGUGGCGAAGGCGGGUCUCUGGGAAGUAACUGACGCUGAGAAGCGAAAGCAUGGGUAGCAAACAGGAUUAGAUACCCUGGUAGUCCAUGCCGUAAACGGUGGGUACUAGGUGUGGGGCUCCUUCCACGGACUCCGUGCCGUAGCUAACGCAUUAAGUACCCCGCCUGGGGAGUACGGCCGCAAGGCUAAAACUCAAAGAAAUUGACGGGGGCCCGCACAAGCGGCGGAGCAUGUGGAUUAAUUCGAUGCAACGCGAAGAACCUUACCUGGGUUUGACAUACACCGGAAACCUGCAGAGAUGUAGGCCCCCUUGUGGUCGGUGUACAGGUGGUGCAUGGCUGUCGUCAGCUCGUGUCGUGAGAUGUUGGGUUAAGUCCCGCAACGAGCGCAACCCUUAUCUUAUGUUGCCAGCGCGUAAUGGCGGGGACUCGUGAGAGACUGCCGGGGUCAACUCGGAGGAAGGUGGGGACGACGUCAAGUCAUCAUGCCCCUUAUGUCCAGGGCUUCACACAUGCUACAAUGGCCGGUACAGAGGGCUGCGAUACCGCGAGGUGGAGCGAAUCCCUUAAAGCCGGUCUCAGUUCGGAUCGGGGUCUGCAACUCGACCCCGUGAAGUUGGAGUCGCUAGUAAUCGCAGAUCAGCAACGCUGCGGUGAAUACGUUCCCGGGCCUUGUACACACCGCCCGUCACGUCAUGAAAGUCGGUAACACCCGAAGCCGGUGGCCUAACCCUUGUGGAGGGAA
rnacentral:rRNA from 1 species